CUGGCUCAGAUUGAACGCUGGCGGCGUGCUUAACACAUGCAAGUCGAACGCGAAAGGGACUUCGGUCCUGAGGUAAGGUGGUGCACGGGUGAGUAACGCGUGGACAACCUGCCUCUCACUGGGGGGAUAGCAGCUGGAAACGGCUGGUAAUACCGCAUACGUUCAAUGUGCCGCAUGACACAUUGAAGAAAGAUUUAUCGGUGAGAGAUGGGUCCGCGUCUGAUUAGCCAGUUGGCGGGGUAACGGCCCACCAAAGCGACGAUCAGUAGCCGGCCUGAGAGGGCGGACGGCCACAUUGGGACUGAGACACGGCCCAGACUCCUACGGGAGGCAGCAGUGGGGGAUAUUGCACAAUGGGCGCAAGCCUGAUGCAGCGACGCCGCCGUGAGUGAAGAAGUAUUUCGGUAUGUAAAGCUCUAUCAGCAGGGAAGAAAGGCCCGCAAGGGAGAUGACGGUACCUGACUAAGAAGCCCCGGCUAACUACGUGCCAGCAGCAGC
rnacentral:rRNA from 1 species